CACAAAGUGCGCCUUUGAUAAUUACAUGCCAAAAUGACUUAAAACUCUGCCGCUAGGCGUACGGCAUUGCAGCCUGAAUGAUAUGCCAACUCACCUUAAGGACUUUUUAACAAGCUGCUUUGAAACAGAAGCGCCCUCGGCUGAGUACUGGUCUCUGAUCACAGAAGAGCUGCGGGAAAUCCGACUCAUCGGAUAACUGGAUAUGGAUCGUAAAAAGACGCUGUUCACUCGGAAUAUCCCAUCCAAAGCAUUCCAGAGGAACUUAACUCACCAGAGGAGGGAGGAGGAGUGGAGAGGUCAAACAAAGUGUCUGCAGAAAACAUGAACAGGUGUCUCCUCGUGUUCACUGGUCAAACGGAAUGUUAAGCUGUAUUCAGUCUAUUUCAAACAUUAAAUUGUGGUGACAGUUA